rnacentral:tmRNA from 1 species
GGGGGUGUCCAGGUUUCGACGGGGAUAAUAAGCAAAGGUUGCAUGCCGAGGUCCGGGUGGCUCGUUAAACAAUCCGGGGCGAUAUAGACGCCGAUAACUAUAAUUACGCCGUAGCAGCUUAAUAACCUGCUACCGAUUCUCCGACUCUCUCCCGCGGGGGAGGAAGAAUCGUCAUUUUAGUGGGAUAGCUGAUGGGAGCGCCUGUGGCCCGGAUGCGAAAUCAAAGCAGGAUCGCUCCCCGGAAAUCCCGGCCAGUGGAGUUUCGGGUGGUUAAACCAAAUACUGGUAUAAGCAUGUAGACGCCUUCUGUGGAUGAUCUUCGGACGCGGGUUCGAUUCCCGCCACCUCCACCA